rnacentral:lncRNA from 1 species
UCAUCCUCGAAUUACCUUGAUAGGGUAGCUGUGAUUAUGUCUGUCUUACAGAUGAGGAAACUGAAGGCUAGGCCAGUUAAAUAGCUUGUCCUAGGUCACACAACUACUGAGUGAUAGACGCAGUUCUCAGAUCUGACUUGAAAUCCUGCACUCAUUCUGCUGUAUUCACAGGAAGAGGAGAUUGGUUACAGACAAGCACAGAAGGAAGACCACACGAAGACACAGAAUGGAGGCUCUCUCUAUGCUACACAGAGAAGUCUCAGAAGAAACCAAUCUUGCUGGCACCUUGAUCUCAGGCUUCCAGCCUCCAGAAUUGUGAGAAAAUAAAGUUCUGUUGUUUGUCACCCCAUCUGUGGUAGGUUGUUAUGGCAGCCUGAGGAAACUAAUACAGGUGUCCUAAUGGAAAGGCCCAUGCUCUCAUAGCUGCUUGGCAGCCUCCAGGGUGAGUAAGAUGUGGCUGGAACGCAAGCACGCAUUGUCUGCAAGUCCUCAGCUGCUGAGGGAAGGCUGGACCUUGUGCUUGGCUGCAGGGUGUGGCCUCUGACACGGAAGCACUUUUCCAGCCCUGGGUGACUCUUGGAGUGAGUAUUAUCACAGACCAUGUCUGCACAAUUUACAUCCACCAAUGAAUUAACUUCUAUUUACAAGACUUGAAGAAAUGCACCAAGGUCGGCUGAAUGAAAACUCAACGAAUGCAAAACCAGAGGAUACAAAGGCCUGACUGUAUUUCUGAUCAACUGGCUAUAAAUCAGGAGUUCCCACA